UCAUCGUACUACCACAGACACUUUUUUAAAUACCCAAAAACCUCUCCUUGAUCUCUCCGAACAAACCAAAUUAUAAUAAACAUCUCUCUACCCGCAGAUUCUCCUUUUCCGUUCUCUUAUGAGACGGAGAUGAUUUGUUUUCAGCCAAGCAGCACAAAAUCAGUAUGGAUUUUUCUUCCGCCUCCGCCUCCGCCUCCCCUCUCUGCCGCUCGCCGCCCCGCACUCGCAGUCGUAGAUGGCGUCAGAGUCGGACUUGUACCGCUGUUGUUGUGGUGGCUGCACUUGUGAUUACUACUACAGCCUGGCUGUCUCUUGUUUUCUCCGGCACUACUGCUCGGUGGUGUUGGCAUAGGCUUAAGAACUGGGAAGGAAGUCUGCAUACGCUCCCGUGGAAACCACAAAGUCAGAAUCCAAAUGGGGUUGAGGAAGAAGAUAAGGUUUUGUCUCUAGAAGGAAUUGCUCCGUCUCUUCCAUUAGGAAGAAACAGGAGCCUAUCGGAGGAGGAGAGACGAAGAGAUGGAGCAGGGCUAGCGUUAAAUCAUAUAGUUUUCGGCAUUGCAGGGUCUUCUCAGCUGUGGAAGAGAAGGAAAGAGCUUAUAAGGCUAUGGUGGAGAAAGGAUUCUUCAAUGCGGGGUCAUGUUUGGGUGGAAGAGCAAGUGGAUGAUAAAGAAUGGGAUGAGUCAUUGCCAAGGAUUAUGAUUUCGGAGGAUACUUCUCGGUUUCGGUACACGAAUCCGACCGGACAUCCUUCUGGGCUUCGGAUUGCGCGCAUUGUGUUGGAAACUUUUCGACUAGGUUUGUCUGAUGUUCGAUGGUUUGUUUUGGGAGAUGAUGAUACUAUUUUUAGUGUAGAUAAUUUGGUUGAUGUAUUGAGUAAGUAUGAUUGUAAUGAGAUGGUUUAUAUCGGCGGUCCCUCAGAGAGUCACUCUGCUAAUACUUAUUUUAGUCAUAAUAUGGCUUAUGGAGGUGGCGGGAUUGCUAUAAGUUAUCCUCUUGCCAAGGCGCUUUAUAGUGUUCUUGAUGAUUGUCUUGAGAGAUAUCAUAGGUUAUAUGGAAGUGAUGAUAGACUCCUCGCUUGUAUUUCCGAGCUUGGCGUUCCUUUAUCAAGAGAACAUGGGUUUCACCAGUGGGAUAUCAGGGGUAGCGCUCAUGGUCUUUUAUCUGCGCACCCGAUUUCACCCUUUGUGUCAAUUCAUCAUGUAGAGGCCGUGGAGCCUAUUUACCCUGGGAUGAGCUCUUUGGACAGUUUGAAAUUGUUCACUAAGGCCAUGAAGGUUGAUCCUAUGAGCUUCUUGCAGCGAUCAAUCUGUUAUGACCAUGCACGCCGCCUAACCUUUUCUGUCUCGCUUGGUUAUGCUAUUCAAGUGUUCCCAAGCAUCGUGCUACCCCGGGUCCUUGAGCGCUCAGAAAUGACUUUCUCUGCUUGGAACAAGAUUCAUAAUCUGAAUGAGUUUGAUUUGGAUACUAGGGAUCCCUCCAAAUCUGUUUGUAAGAGUCCAGUCCUCUUCUUCUUAGAAGAUGUGGAAAGACAAGGCAACACUACUCUGGGUACAUAUGUGCGGGCGGGGAGAUUGAAAGAUGAUUUGAAAAGAAAAGUUCUCUGCUUUCCUCGUUCGGCUCCUCUUCCUUAUGUGGGGCGUAUUCGGGCUUUGGGGUAUCCUCUAAAGAACUGGCAUUUGUCACCACGUCGCCUGUGUUGCAAACUGAAUCAAACAAGUGAUGAACUCCUUACAAUAUCAGUUAAACAGUGUGGGAAGGGAUCUUUUGGUUCUUUUGCUGAUUCCGUGUGAAUAUGAAUGGUAGCAGUUCGUCUACUCGAUAUCAUUGCUGGGGGGAUUAUUUUAUGCUUGAAGAAGGCCCUUUCCCAGCCUGUGCUUUAUAUUGUACAGCAUCAUUGUUUGGCUCCUUCUUGCAACAGUGGUUUACCGAAUGGCAUCUGGCAUUUUGAAAACCAUGCUAACAAAUGAGUUUAAGAUGAGAUCACAGACCUUCACUUCAUGGACUACAUUCUGUGCCUUCCUUUUUCUUCGGAAGAUUGCAUAACUAGCAAAUCAGGUGGGAUUUGUGGCGAGAACCUCUCUCAGAAACUGGGAGGUUAGCUGCAUUUGAAGUUGCAAGUUGAGUGUGAACUAGUGCAUGCACUGUACAUCCAUUUCAUUAGUGACUAAAGCCAGGGGUUUAAAGUGGCUUUUGAAGGGCCAGAAACAGUUUGAUGGCACAGCGAAGCAUUAAGUGCCAGAAGUGCAACUUGUUCAUUCUGAUGGGUGCAAGUCCUUUUAGUUCUAGUGGGAGCUGUCGCCUUGAUAAAGUGGACAAUUAACGAUGCUUUAGGAGUCGUUAAUAGAUCACUUCAAGUGAUGGUGACCCUUUUUUGACUUGAUGGGAUUUUGCUUGGGAACCUAAAUUUUAUCCUUAUUGUUUUCUUUUCCAUCCUAGAAUUUCUUCCACUCGUUCACAUCUUCAUAAGCAUGUUCUUAUUUUGCUGUCUAAUCAACCAUGGAAUUUACUUCCAAGGGAGUCCAAACUCCAAUGGUUAAGACUUGAGAUUUCUACCUGGAGAUCUCACUAAUGUUUUGAGGACAAUCUUUUUGCUACAGUCAUUGCUGCCGUGGACAUGCAAGACCAUUAAUGUAUUAGCCCAGCAAGGCUCGUUGGGUUUUCUUUCUUGGAAAAGAACACUCGCAUCAGCUGACUGCUGGCUACUAAAGAGUGUUACACAUUCUUGUCAGAAGAGAACAUGUUGGCUAAAAACCUGGAACACAAGCUGCUGAGAUACCGAAAAGAAGAGGAGGCGGGCGUGGGCAGUGUCAUGCGGCGCGGCCGUGUAGGACAAAUUUGGAUUUCAAGCAGCGGGAGGACUAGGCGGGCUUUUUUUUUUUUUUUUUUUAAUUUUCUAGUGUGAGGGAUGAACCCUAUCCUCAAAACAUUGAAUUAGGGUCAUCUUUGAGUUGCCGUAGGUUUUUUCUUUCCUUGGAAAAGGAAAAGGACCUUCGUGUUCUGUCGAUUGUGCUCUGUCGGGCUUGCAUUUUUCACUCCAAAUGCACGGAAUAUUUAUGUGGUAAUUAAGUUCCGAUACAUUUCAGAUUUUA